rnacentral:rRNA from 1 species
UACGUAGGGUGCAAGCGUUGUCCGGAAUUAUUGGGCGUAAAGGGCGUGCAGGCGGUUUGUUAAGUUCAGGGUGAAAGCUCCCGGCUCAACUGGGAGAGGUCCUUGGAUACUGGCAGACUUGAGGAGGGUAGAGGAGAGUGGAAUUCCCGGUGUAGUGGUGAUAUGCGUAGAUAUCUGGAGGAACACCGGUGGCGAAGGCGGCAUCCUGGACCGGCAUUGACGCUGAGGUGCGAAAGCGUGGGGAGCAAACAGG